rnacentral:SRP_RNA from 1 species
GCCAGGCGUGGUGGCCGGCGCCUGUAGUCCCAGCUACUUGGGAGGCUGAGGCAGGAGAAUGGCAUUAGCCCAGGAGUCGGAGCUUGCAGUGAGCCGAGAUCGGGCCACUGUACUCCAGCCUGGGCAACAGAGCAAGAUCCUGUCUCAA